UACGUAGGUGGCAAGCGUUACUCGGAAUCACUAGGCGUAAAGCGCAGGUAGGAGGUUUAGUAAGUCUGUUGUGAAAGCUCCCGGCUUAACUGGGAGAGGUCAACGGAAACUGCUAGGCUAGAGUGCGGUAGAGGUAGCUGGAAUUCCCGGUGUAGCGGUGGAAUGCGUAGAGAUCGGGAAGAAUACCGGCGGCGAAGGCGUUCCGCUGGGCCGUUGCUGACGCUGAGGCGCGACAGCGUGGGGAGCAAACAGG
rnacentral:rRNA from 1 species